CAGUAGCCGCGUAAUACAGAGGGUGCGAGCGUUAAUCGGAUUUACUGGGCGUAAAGCGUGCGUAGGCGGCUUCUUAAGUCGGAUGUGAAAUCCCUGAGCUUAACUUAGGAAUUGCAUUCGAUACUGGGAAGCUAGAGUAUGGGAGAGGAUGGUAGAAUUCCAGGUGUAGCGGUGAAAUGCGUAGAGAUCUGGAGGAAUACCGAUGGCGAAGGCAGCCAUCUGGCCUAAUACUGACGCUGAGGUACGAAAGCAUGGGGAGCAAACAGGAUUAGAUACCCCAGUAGUCCCUGUCUCUUAUACA
rnacentral:rRNA from 1 species